UACAGAGGGGGCAAGCGUUGUUCGGAAUUACUGGGCGUAAAGGGCGCGUAGGCGGCCUGUUAAGUCAGACGUGAAAUCCCUCGGCUCAACCGGGGAACUGCGUCUGAUACUGGCGGGCUUGAAUUCGGGAGAGGGAUGUGGAAUUCCAGGUGUAGCGGUGAAAUGCGUAGAUAUCUGGAGGAACACCGGUGGCGAAGGCGGCAUCCUGGACCGACAUUGACGCUGAGGCGCGAAAGCCAGGGGAGCGAACAGG
rnacentral:rRNA from 1 species